CCCUGCCUUUUGUACACACCGCCCGUCGCUCCUACCGAUUGGGUGUGCUGGUGAAGUGUUUGGACUGGUGUCAGUGGGGGGCAACCUCUGUUGGUACUGAGAAGAACAUUAAACCCUCCCACCUAGAGGAAGGA
rnacentral:rRNA from 1 species